rnacentral:lncRNA from 1 species
CAUACAUACAUACAUGUGGACACAUGAACUGCAUCUUCACCUGAGAAAAGCAAGAGACGGGGGGAAAAAAUAGAGAGCAAAGCCUUUUACUCCUUUUAAAAACAGACUGAAACUGGAUUCUCGAGUUCUCUGCAGGAUUAACUCACGUGCCCAGCGAGGGCACUGGGAAACACAGUGGCUUCCUGCUCACCCGUCCUGUCCCCAAGCAGCCUCUCUAUAUGGCUAGGCUAGGACAAAAAAUGUGCCAGUUGAAAACAGCAUGGUGGUCUCAAGGUAGUCUAGCUGUUGUGUCGUCUCAGGGUUCUCUGAAGAAGGCACAUCCAAAGA